AAUCAAGACCAGAUGGCGAGCCAGAGCCACAGGGCAGAGUAGCGUCAGGACAACUUUCGCCACCAGAGGGAGCUCAGCUGGUCUAGAUCAGAGCAAGCCAAAGAUGAAUGUCCCAACAGCUGCAGAGAAAGAAAGAGGGCUCACGAGCAGAGAGUAUCAGGGGUCUUCACCAUAUCAGAGUCAUGAAGGGGGCAUUUGGUUUGUAUGGGUAGAGGCGUGGCCCGUGGAAAAGUCGUCCCCAUAUCCGCUUAAAUCCAUUAGGUCUGUCCUGAGAAGCAAUCCACAUGCGAAGGGUUUUUCGGAGUUGAAGUUCCUCUGCGUCUGUCCCUACACGACACAACUACCUCUACUGCACCCCCACUGCGUCAGUCCGACAUAUGAUGCCAGGGCAGCUGCGUAUUGCCUGCCGGCCCUGGUCACAUUUAGAGGCGAUAGAACCAAAAGGGAUUCCAGGAUGUUGUGUGGACCCUUUUAGAGUCAAAUUGUUGACUGCUCUGUAACGAUUCUUACAAAGCUACAAGGAAAGCCUCUACUUUGAUGGGAUUUAGGAAGGUACCUCAUUGAAUUUAAGUCGUGUUUGGAAUUGUGAACCAUAUACUUGCAAACACAUUUUCCAGUAUUGAAUGUUGGGGAUUGUCAUGGGCAUCGGGGUGGGAG
ensembl:lncRNA